rnacentral:lncRNA from 1 species
AGAGCAUAGAGGUGAAAGUCCAGCAUCCAAGGAGAAGCUCAUUCAGAAAGCAAGAUGUAUUAUUUUACUUCCUGCACAGAUGACCAUCUCCUGAACUAAUGCUUGCAAUUUCAGUGCCACACCAAGGAUAUUCUUUGGUUUUAGGCAAGGACUAUUUGCUAUGAAUUAUGUUGUUAUUGUUUAUUUGUGCUACAGAUGAAAUAAUGUAUUUCCAUCAGAAUUUAAACAGGUGUGAAGAUGCAAGGAAGAAGCACCAUUCCUCAUUUUCUGUGGAGAAAGAAACAGCAGCAUUUCAUGUUCACCUGGAUGUCACACCUGGAGCUGGGAUGCCCCAGUGCUACCAUCUCACAGUGCUCUGCCAAUGGGACUGCGGGCAGUGCAUGCUGCCAGCAGCUGCUCACAUUGCACGGAAGGAACCUUUGCACCUCAUGGGAGCACGGACAGGAGUGUGUCCCACUGUGUCCCUGCCUCCUGCCCAGCUGGGUCAGUGGUGCUUUGAAGCUGGUCCGUGUAUUGGUGGUAGCUGGGCUGCUCUCCUUGUGCUGCUGAAGACUGAUCCAGGCUCAUGUCCCUGCUCAUUGCAGGGGAGCUGGACUGGAUGGCUUUUAAAGGUUCUUUCCAACUCCAAGGAUUCCAUGAUUCUCUGAUUGAGUACUUGAUACAACACUGCUUCCCUGGGGUAAAGUUAAACUCAUUUGUUCCAACUUUCUCAUUAGCUUACAAAAGCACUUUUCUCUCAUUCAUUCACACCUAAAUAUUGCACUGCUGUCUUUACAGCUGCAGGAAUGCCCAUUGCCUCUCUGACCAUUGUCCCUGCUGACAGUGCCUGUGCCCCAUCUCCCCAGACACGGUCACGCUCUACCCCCUGGUGAAACAGAAGGGCACCCACCUCUGUGUGUGUGAGGGAGAGGGCUGUGACAAAUUUCAUUUGGAUGUGAUUCAAUGAAUAAAGUACGAGGCGAUGUGCCCAGAGUGACUCAUCUGUGUGCAUAGCUGCUGGC